rnacentral:rRNA from 1 species
AACGAACGCUGGCGGCAGGCUUAACACAUGCAAGUCGAACGCCCCGCAAGGGGAGUGGCAGACGGGUGAGUAACGCGUGGGAAUCUACCCAGUUCUACGGAACAACUGAGGGAAACUUCAGCUAAUACCGUAUACGCCCUACGGGGGAAAGAUUUAUCGGAAUUGGAUGAGCCCGCGUUGGAUUAGCUAGUUGGUGGGGUAAAGGCCUACCAAGGCGACGAUCCAUAGCUGGUCUGAGAGGAUGAUCAGCCACACUGGGACUGAGACACGGCCCAGACUCCUACGGGAGGCAGCAGUGGGGAAUAUUGGACAAUGGGCGCAAGCCUGAUCCAGCCAUGCCGCGUGAGUGAUGAAGGCCUUAGGGUUGUAAAGCUCUUUCAGUGGGGACGAUAAUGACGGUACCCACAGAAGAAGCCCCGGCUAACUUCGUGCCAGCCGCCGCGGUAAUAC